rnacentral:tRNA from 1 species
AGCAUAAUAGUUAAGCCCUUGGCUGCUAACCAAAAGGUUGGUGGUUCAAACCCACC